GUUUAACGCCGUUGACCUUUUAUCACAUGUUUGACCGUUCGUCUUAUUCAAAAAAUUUAAAUAAUUAUUAAUUCUUUUUCUAUCAUUUGAUUCAUUGUUAAAUAUAUUUUUAUGUAUGCAUAUAAUUUUACAUAUCUCACAAAAGUUUUUGAAUAAGACGAACGGUCAAACAUGUGCUAAAAAGUUAACGGUGUCAAAUAUU
rfam:Oryza sativa Japonica Group DNA, chromosome 3, cultivar: Nipponbare, complete sequence.